CAGCCGCCACGGUAAUACGUAGGUGGCAAGCGUUGUCCGGAAUUAUUGGGCGUAAAGGGCUCGCAGGCGGUUUCUUAAGUCUGAUGUGAAAGCCCCCGGCUCAACCGGGGAGGGUCAUUGGAAACUGGGAAACUUGAGUGCAGAAGAGGAGAGUGGAAUUCCACGCGUAGCGGUGAAAUGCGUAGAGAUGUGGAGGAACACCAGUGGCGAAGGCGACUCUCUGGUCUGUAACUGACGCUGAGGAGCGAAAGCGUGGUGAGCGAACAGGAUUAGAUACCCCCGUAGUCCCUGUCUCUUAUAU
rnacentral:rRNA from 1 species